UACAGGGGGUGCAAACGUUGCUCGGAAUCAUUGGGCGUAAAGCGCACGUAGGCGGUUUGUUAUGUCGGAUGUGAAAGCCCUUGGCUCAACUGAGGAAGUGCAUCCGAAACUGGCAAGCUAGAGUACUAAAGAGGGUCGCGGAAUUCCAGGUGUAGCGGUGAAAUGCGUAGAUAUCUGGAGGAAUACCGGUGGCGAAGGCGGCAUCCUGGACCGACACUGACGCUGAGGCGCGAAAGCUAGGGUAGCAAACGGG
rnacentral:rRNA from 1 species